rnacentral:rRNA from 1 species
UACGGGAGGCAGCAGUAAGGAAUAUUGGUCAAUGGACGCAAGUCUGAACCAGCCAUGCCGCGUGAAGGAUGAAGGUCCUCUGGAUUGUAAACUUCUUUUAUCUGGGACGAAACCUCUUUUUCUAAAGAGACUGACGGUACCAGAGGAAUAAGCACCGGCUAACUCCGUGCCAGCAGCCGCGGUAAUACGGAGGGUGCAAGCGUUAUCCGGAUUCACUGGGUUUAAAGGGAGCGUAGGAGGGCAGGUAAGUCAGUGGUGAAAUCUUCGAGCUUAACUCGGAAACUGCCGUUGAUACUAUCUGUCUUGAAUACCGUGGAGAUGAGCGGAAUAUGUCAUGUAGCGGUGAAAUGCUUAGAUAUGACAUAGAACACCAAUUGCGAAGGCAGCUCGUUACACGAAUAUUGACUCUGAGGCUCGAAAGCGUGGGGAUCAAACAGGAUUAGAUACCCUGGUAG